rnacentral:rRNA from 1 species
CAGUCGCCACGGUAACACGGAGGGAGCUAGCGUUGUUCGGAAUUACUGGGCGUAAAGCGCGCGUAGGCGGUUACUCAAGUCAGAGGUGAAAGCCCGGGGCUCAACCCCGGAACUGCCUUUGAAACUAGGUGACUAGAAUCUUGGAGAGGUCAGUGGAAUUCCGAGUGUAGAGGUGAAAUUCGUAGAUAUUCGGAAGAACACCAGUGGCGAAGGCGACUGACUGGACAAGUAUUGACGCUGAGGUGCGAAAGCGUGGGGAGCAAACAGGAUUAGAGACCCGCGUAGUCCCUGUCUCUUAUAC